rnacentral:tRNA from 1 species
GGGGUAGUAGCUCAGUGGAUAGAGCAGCAGUCUUCUAAACUGAAGGUCGAGAGUUCGACUCUCUCCUGCCCCGCCA